rnacentral:piRNA from 1 species
UUUCCUUGUUUGGUCUUUUGAUUCC